rnacentral:rRNA from 1 species
UACCAGCUCUCCGAGUGGUAGGGAUGAUUAUUGGGCUUAAAGCAUCCGUAGCUGGCUGGGCAAGUCCCCUGUUAAAUCCACCGAUUUAAUCGUUGGAGUGCGGGGGAUACUGUUCGGCUAGGGGACGGGAGAGGCAGACGGUAUUUUCGGGGUAGGGGUGAAAUCCUAUAAUCCCGGGAAGACCACCAGUGGCGAAGGCUGUCUGCUAGAACGCGCCCGACGGUGAGGGAUGAAAGCUGGGGGAGCGAACCGGAUUAGAUACCCGGGUAGUCCCAGCUGUAAACGAUGCAGGCUAGGUGUUUGGGCGGCCACGUGCCGCUCUAGUGCCGCAGGGAAGCCGUUAAGCCUGCCGCCUGGGGAGUACGGCCGCAAGGCUGAAACUUAAAGGAAUUGGCGGGGGAGCACCACGAAGGGGUGAAGCUUGCGGUUU